rnacentral:rRNA from 1 species
CCUACGGGAGGCAGCAGUGGGGAAUUUUGGACAAUGGGCGCAAGCCUGAUCCAGCAAUGCCGCGUGAGUGAAGAAGGCCUUCGGGUUGUAAAGCUCUUUUGUCAGGGAAGAAACGGUCUACUCUAAUACAGUGGGCUAAUGACGGUACCUGAAGAAUAAGCACCGGCUAACUACGUGCCAGCAGCCGCGGUAAUACGUAGGGUGCAAGCGUUAAUCGGAAUUACUGGGCGUAAAGCGUGCGCAGGCGGUUAUAUAAGUCAGAUGUGAAAUCCCCGGGCUCAACCUGGGAACUGCAUUUGAGACUGUAUGGCUAGAGUGUGUCAGAGGGGGGUAGAAUUCCACGUGUAGCAGUGAAAUGCGUAGAUAUGUGGAGGAAUACCGAUGGCGAAGGCAGCCCCCUGGGAUAACACUGACGCUCAUGCACGAAAGCGUGGGGAGCAAACAGGAUUAGAUACCCUGGUAGUCCACGCCCUAAACGAUGUCUACUAGUUGUCGGGACUUAAUUGUCUUGGUAAACGCAGCUAACGCGUGAAGUAGACCGCCUGGGGAAGUACGGUGCAAGAUUAAAAACUUCAAAAUUGAGUUAGAGGCGNGAGAGNGCGACGACGACGACGAGGAGGAGG